AGCGGCUUUUCUAACGGAGGUGAAGCCAACUGCGCCGGCCGGGGCUGGAACUGGGCGGGGCCGCGAGGGGCUGCGCGGCCGUCGACGGAGGAGCUCGAAGCCCCGUCCCCUUCCCUGGCUCCGCUACAGCUACUCCGUCGCCCCCGUGCUCGAAUCGGCGGCGUCGUUGCCCCCGUGCUCGAAUCGGCGGCGCCCUCACCCCCGUGUUCGAAUCGGCAGCGCCCGUUGGUGUUUCACCGCGCUGGAUCCGGCGGCUGCCGCUUCGGCAUUGGAUCCACCGGCUGUCGCUUCGGGAUCCGCCGGCGCUCUCCCUCUGCCUCUCUCUACGCUGCUGCUCCGAAGCUGGCUUUAGGCAGCCUACUCGCGCUGGGGCGGUGAGGAUUUGCGGGCUCCCUAGGCAUGAGUGACUGAUGUGCAGGUACAGAUAAUCGAAAUGGAGGUAUUCCACCAUCGCCAUCAGAAAUUAAGCGAUCCACUAACCCAUUCGACGAUGACAGACCAAUUGGGAUAGCAUUACAACCAGGACAAUCAGCAAGCAUCCAUCCCCAACCAAUGCACGACAGUCAACAAGGUAAUGGAUUCGUGCCUGUUCAACCAAUGUCAAGGGAACAGCCAGGAGGAAUACAGUUGCAGCCAGUCACUGUGGCACGCAGCUGAUGCCUCCACAGCCACGGCCUACGCAAAUGAACAUGCAGUAUGGUGUAAUGUACCCCUCGAUGCAAAUGAACCAAAGAAUGGGCAUGUAUUCCUAGCCGGCGUUUGGAGAAGGAUUUUAUGGGAUGAACCAACCGCAGCUGUAUGGUGUUCAGAUGUCUGGUUAUGGAUAUGGCCAAGCAUAUCACUAUAUUCCAAACGCUGCAUAUGCGUAUGCUAGCGCAAAUGAGCUUUCCCAGAGGAUGAACGGCCUUUCAGUUCAAAAUGGUGGUUCAAACGGAACGACGACAAAUAAGCAGAGCAGACCUGAAGAUUCACUCUUUGGUGAUGUUUUGAGCAUCGCCAAAAUGAAGCAGAGCAAACAUGCAGCUGGUAAGGUUCGUGGCUGACAAGGGCAAUUGAGUGGAUACAUAGGCUCACCUUAUUUGAAAGCUACAGAAGCAUUGCCUGAUAGUACAUAAUUCUUUUGCCACUUUUUGUGCAAUGCCAGAUGGCUUAUCGAUGCCAUGUCAUCUGAGUAUGAAUUCAUAAUGGAAAGUAGGGAUUGUGAUAUUUGAUAUGCUUAUAGGCAAUGCUUCAUAAAAAGAGUACACCUUGAGUUCAGUAGUAAUAUAUGAAGUCAUUAGUUCCCAA